rnacentral:lncRNA from 1 species
UAUUUAUUUCUUAUCUAUUGUACUCCUUAUUCAAACAAACCAUAAUGAUAAGUGAAAAGUAGAAUCACAAAUAAGGCAAGAGGCUUAAGAUAGAGGGGGUCCACUCAGUAAAUUCAAGGGAAAAACAACAAAAAAACAAAGCUCUCAAGGAAGAUAGGAAAACAGAACAAGAAGUGAAACAACAUCUCAAUUAACUUGCUAAAUAUAGACUCCUUUUUGGGUUCAUCAACAUAUCUAUAGUGUUUUUGUCCAUAACUUAGAGCUUUAUGUAACCGUUUUGGAUCAUCCACUUCAUGAUCCAUUCGUUGAAGGCUG